rnacentral:rRNA from 1 species
UACGUAGGGGCCUAGCGUUGUCCGGAUUUAUUGGGCGUAAAGAGCUCGUAGGCGGUUGGUUAGUCAGGUGUGAAAUCUCCAGGCUCAACCUGGAGGGUCAUUCGAUACUGCCGUGACUAGAGUUCGGUAGGGAGUGUGGAAUUCCUGGUGGAGCGGUGAAAUGCGCAGAUAUCAGGAGGAACACCAAUGGCGAAGGCAGCUCACUGGGACGGUAUUGACGCUGAGACGCGAAGCGUGGGAGCAACAGG